UCAGCAGCCCGCGUAAUUCCAGCUCCAAUAGCGUAUAUUAAAGUUGUUGCGGUUAAAAAGCUCGUAGUUGGAUUACAGUUCCGGACUGACGGUUCACCGCCCGGUGCUUACUGUCACGCUCCGAACAGCCUGAAACAUGGCCCCGCCGGCUCGCCCGGGGUGCUCUUUACCGAGUGUCCCGAGUGGCCGGCAUGUUUACUUUGAAAAAAUUAGAGUGCUCAGAGCAGGCUACAUGAAUUGGCCUGAAUGUCUAUGCAUGGAAUAAUGGAAUAGGACCUCGGUUCUAUUUUGUCGGUUUUCUUCGGAACCCGAGGUAAUGACUAAUAGAAACAGGCGGGGGUAUUAGUACUGCGACGCUAGAGGUGAAAUUCUUGGACCGUCGCAAGACUAACAACUGCGAAAGCAUUUACCAAGGAUGUUUUCAUUAAUCAAGAACGAAAGUUAGAGGUUCGAAGGCGAUCAGAUACCGCCCUAGUUCUAACCAUAAACGAUGCUGACUAGCGAUCCGCCGGCGUUAUUCCCAUGACCCGGCGGGCAGCUUCCGGGAAACCAAAGUCUUUGAGUUCCGGGGGAAGUAUGGUUGCAAAGCUGAAACUUAAAGGAAUUGACGGAAGGGCACCACCAGGAGUGGAGCCUGCGGCUUAAUUUGAUC
rnacentral:rRNA from 1 species